GAUGAACGCUGGCGGCGUGCCUAAUACAUGCAAGUAGAACGCUGAAGGAGGAGCUUGCUCUUCUGGAUGAGUUGCGAACGGGUGAGUAACGCGUAGGUAACCUGCCUGGUAGCGGGGGAUAACUAUUGGAAACGAUAGCUAAUACCGCAUGACAACAGUUAUUGCAUGAUAACUGUUUAAAAGGGGCAACUGCUCCACUACCAGAUGGACCUGCGUUGUAUUAGCUAGUUGGUGAGGUAACGGCUCACCAAGGCGACGAUACAUAGCCGACCUGAGAGGGUGAUCGGCCACAAUGGGACUGGGGCACGGCCCAGACUCCUACGGGAGGCAGCAGUAGGGGAUCUUCGGCAAUGGACGGAAGUCUGGACGAGCAACGCCGCGUGAGUGAAGGAGGUUUUCGGAUCGUAAAGCUCUGUUGUAAGAGAAGAACGAGUGUGAGAGUGGAAAGUUCACGCUGUGACGGUAUCUUACCAGAAAGGGACGGCUAACUACGUG
rnacentral:rRNA from 1 species